UCUGGGGUUGCUGGAUCUGUGAGCCGGGCGUUCGCAGGGCACCCCUUCUGUGUCAAUACCUGGGGACAUGGCGGUGCACAGAGAGACCAGGCCCCUUGGGUGUCUUGCAUCUGGCUGUUAAUAAUCUCCUAUGAACAUAGGUAUACUAGAAAGCCCUCCCAACAAUGCCAUGAAGCAGGGAUUAUUAUGCCCAUUUUCAGAGGAGGAAAUUAAGAUCAGAAGAUUCACAAGACUUUUCCAAGAUCCUGUUUCUAGUAAGUCCUGAAGUUUGAAUCCAGGUUUUGUUAUUUUCUUCUUCCAUUUUAG